UUACGGCCACAUCAUGAUGAAACACCGGUUCCCACACGAUUACCGAAGUUAAGCAACGUCGAACCAGGUCAGUACCUAGAUGGAUGAUCGCUUGGGAAUACUU